GGUCGGAUGUGUUUGGCCCGCCAUGGUUUCAUGUGUGAGUGCUGAUGCUCAUCUACCAUCCUUCUAGUGUGACUGCUCCUCUUCAUUGAGGCGGCAGGACACCUAGAUCCUUUACUUUGAAAAAAUUAGAGUGUUUCAAGCAGGCGUUUGCUAUGAAUACAUUAGCAUGGAAUAAUAAUUUAGGACUUCGGUUCUAUUUUGUUGGUUUCUAGAGCUGAAGUA
rnacentral:rRNA from 1 species